rnacentral:rRNA from 1 species
GACGAACGCUGGCGGUGUGCUUAACACAUGCAAGUCGAACGGUAAGGCCCUUUCGGGGGUACACGAGUGGCGAACGGGUGAGUAACACGUGAGUAACCUGCCCUCAUCUCUGGGAUAACAGUCGGAAACGGUUGCUAAUACUGGAUAUGAGCUUGCAAGGCAUCUUGUGGGUUGGAAAGAUUUUUUUUGGUUGGGGAUGGACUCGCGGCCUAUCAGCUUGUUGGUGAGGUAGUGGCUCACCAAGGCUUCGACGGGUAGCCGGCCUGAGAGGGCGACCGGCCACAUUGGGACUGAGAUACGGCCCAAACUCCUACGGGAGGCAGCAGUGGGGAAUAUUGCACAGUGGACGGAAGUCUGAUGCAGCAACGCCGCGUGCGGGAUGACGGCCUUCGGGUUGUAAACCGCUUUCAAUUGUGACGAAGCUUUUUUGUGACGGUAGCAGUAGAAGAAGCACCGGCUAACUACGUG